UUAAGAAAAUUUUUAUAUAAUUUAUUAUUUUAAGCUAAUUUUAAAAUUUUACUUUAGUGAAAUUUAUUAUAAAAAUAUCUUUGGUUGGGGCAACCUCGAAGAAAAAUUAACCUUCGAUUAAAUAUAAAAAAUUUACAAAUUUAAAAAUUCAUAAAAAAUUUUAAUUGAUCCGGUAAUUAACCGAACAAAGAAAAAAGUUACCGCAGGGAUAACAGCGUAAUUUCUUUUGAGAGUUCAUAUUGACAAAGAAGUUUGCGACCUCGAUGUUGGACCGAGGCACCCAGAAGAUGCAGAAGUCUUCAAAGGUAGGUCUGUUCGACCUUUAAAGCCUUACGCGAUCUGAGUUCAGACCGACGAAAGU
rnacentral:rRNA from 1 species